CAGCUUGUUGGUGAGGUAAUGGCUCACCAAGGCGACGACGGGUAGCCGGCCUGAGAGGGUGACCGGCCACACUGGGACUGAGACACGGCCCAGACUCCUACGGGAGGCAGCAGUGGGGAAUAUUGCACAAUGGGCGAAAGCCUGAUGCAGCAACGCCGCGUGAGGGACGACGGCCUUCGGGUUGUAAACCUCUUUUAGCAGGGAAGAAGCGAAAGUGACGGUACCUGCAGAAAAAGCACCGGCUAACUACGUGCCAGCAGCCGCGGUAAUACGUAGGGUGCAAGCGUUGUCCGGAAUUAUUGGGCGUAAAGAGCUCGUAGGCGGUUUGUCGCGUCUGCUGUGAAAUCCCGAGGCUCAACCUCGGGUCUGCAGUGGGUACGGGCAGACUAGAGUGCGGUAGGGGAGAUUGGAAUUCCUGGUGUAGCGGUGGAAUGCGCAGAUAUCAGGAGGAACACCGAUGGCGAAGGCAGAUCUCUGGGCCGCUACUGACGCUGAGGAGCGAAAGGGUGGGGAGCAAACAGGCUUAGAUACCCUGGUAGUCCACCCCGU
rnacentral:rRNA from 1 species